GGGGAAUAUUGCGCAAUGGGGGAAACCCUGACGCAGCAACGCCGCGUGGGUGAAGAAGGUCUUCGGAUCGUAAAGCCCUGUCUGCGGGAAAGAAAUGGCAAGCGGUCAAUAUCCGUUUGCCUUGACGGUACCCGCGAAGGAAGCACCGGCUAACUCCGUGCCAGCAGCCGCGGUAAUACGGAGGGUGCUAGCGUUGUUCGGAAUCACUGGGCGUAAAGCGCGUGUAGGCGGACGGUCAAGUCCGGUGUGAAAGCCCUAGGCUUAACCUGGGAACUGCAUUGGAAACUGGUCGUCUCGAGUACGGGAGAGGGAAGUGGAAUUCCUAAUGUAGAGGUGAAAUUCGUAGAUAUUAGGAGGAACACCGGUGGCGAAGGCGGCUUCCUGGACCGAUACUGACGCUGAGACGCGAGAGCGUGGGUAGCAAAC
rnacentral:rRNA from 1 species